rnacentral:rRNA from 1 species
GGUAGUCCACGCCGUAAACGAUGUCGACUUGGAGGUUGUUCCCUUGAGGAGUGGCUUCCGGAGCUAACGCGUUAAGUCGACCGCCUGGGGAGUACGGCCGCAAGGUUAAAACUCAAAUGAAUUGACGGGGGCCCGCACAAGCGGUGGAGCAUGUGGUUUAAUUCGAUGCAACGCGAAGAACCUUACCUACUCUUGACAUCCAGAGAACUUUCCAGAGAUGGAUUGGUGCCUUCGGGAACUCUGAGACAGGUGCUGCAUGGCUGUCGUCAGCUCGUGUUGUGAAAUGUUGGGUUAAGUCCCGCAACGAGCGCAACCCUUAUCCUUUGUUGCCAGCGGUUCGGCCGGGAACUCAAAGGAGACUGCCAGUGAUAAACUGGAGGAAGGUGGGGAUGACGUCAAGUCAUCAUGGCCCUUACGAGUAGGGCUACACACGUGCUACAAUGGCGCAUACAAAGAGAAGCGACCUCGCGAGAGCAAGCGGACCUCAUAAAGUGCGUCGUAGUCCGGAUUGGAGUCUGCAACUCGACUCCAUGAAGUCGGAAUCGCUAGUAAUCGUAGAUCAGAAUGCUACGGUGAAUACGUUCCCGGGCCUUGUACACACCGCCCGUCACACCAUGGGAGUGGGUUGCAAAAGAAGUAGGUAGCUUAACCUUCGGGAGGGCGCUUACCACUUUGUGAUUCAUGACNGGGGUGAAGUCGUAAC